rnacentral:snRNA from 1 species
AGCUUUGUGCAGCGGCAGUAUCGUAGACAAUGAGGUUUAUCCGAGGUGCAAUGAUUGAUAAUUGAAAAAAGUACAAAUUAUCACACUAAUACACAUAGAUUUUUAGGUAUAGAAUUCUA